GAUGAACGCUGGCGGCGUGCUUAACACAUGCAAGUCGAGCGGGCAAUUUAUCUAGCACUGAUUACUUCAAAUGGAAAUCAUAAGUGUAAUCAUGAAUUUCUACCUUUAAUAAAGAAAAAGAAAUUCAUGUACGCAAAUAGUGAUAACACAUUUUAGUGGAGUGAUGAGUGCUGGAUAAAUUGCUAGCGGCGGACGGGUGCGUAACACGUGGGUAACCUGCCCCUAUCACUGGGAUAACACACUGAAAAGUAGUGCUAAUACCAGAUAACAUAAGCUUUUGGUCAUCAUUAGCUUAUCAAAGAAUUUCGGAUAGGGAUGGGCCCGCGUCUGAUUAGCUAGUUGGUGAGGUAACGGCUCACCAAGGCAACGAUCAGUAGCCGACCUGAGAGGGUGAUCGGCCACACUGGAACUGAGACACGGUCCAGACUCCUACGGGAGGCAGCAGUGGGGAAUAUUGCACAAUGGGC
rnacentral:rRNA from 1 species